CGGCACUAUUUCCGGAAUACUCUGCCAGCGGCGCUUACACGCAGUCAGUAAAUGCUGGAAAAACGUUGAGCGUCAUCCGAAGAACCAGUAAAAUUUAUCGAAUUUGUGGUUUCUUACAGUAUAUGUGCGUGUUUUUCCGAUUGUUUUGGCUUAAGUGGGUGACUGAAGGAGUCAAUGGUGAAUUUGUUUGCAAAUAUUUACCUAACGAUUCCUUCGACAGAACAGAUUUUUUUUGACAAAUAAGACACCAGCCCGCCUAAACUGGCUUGGGUACCCUGUGCAAUUGCUCUCCACUGCAGAGUCUUUGGAGAACGCAAAGAGACGAUUGAAAAUGGCAAAGGUCAAAGUAGACGUUGACACCACAGAUGCUAAAGACACUGCUCAAAAUAAUAAGAAAACGUCGAAAAAAACAGAUUUUCCAGCCAAUCGGCAACUGAAGCAGAUUGCGUCAAUGCGAAAAUUCGCUGCGGUCUAAAUCUCUGCUUCGCAUGAAAUCAGCGACCGUGAAUAUAACAGUUCUGAGAGUUCCAAAUCGCAGAAAAAAACAGGUCACGUUGAUCAUUUACUCGAAGAAAGAACAAAUAAUGCAUCACAGUUGGAACAUUUGAGAAAUCCAAUUGUCCAGAAACACUCGUCGAUGUCUGUCAUUCGGGAUAAGCGUUCUCGUGCAAAUACGUGAAAUCAUUCACUCAGAAGUGGAGAGCGCUAAAUUGAGUAUACUUCAUGAUCUAGCGGCAAUAGUUGGUCAGAUGCAGAAUACAGUUCUUCAAACUAACAUUCUUACUGCUCCACGUGGAUCGCCUAAUGAGUUGAUCAAAAAAUUGAAUACGAAAUUUGCUAUCCAACCUCUCAAUGAUUUCUUGGCUUUGGAAAAAAAACUUGAAGAUGAAAGCCAAACAGAUGCCCUGUGUUCUUUGUAUCAGCUGCUUUUGUCCGGAUUCAAUAAACCUUCAAAUUGUGCGAAAACAUUGAUGGGCCAUACUCUAUUAAAAGAGUUAUCACUGCAAUACUCUAGUUCAGGUAGAGAUAUAAAUGGCAAGGACAACUUGACGUGGAAAGAAACAAAAACUAGCCAAAUGAUGAAACAAGCCAUAAUCACUCAAUUUAAUGAUCAAACGGAAGAGGAUAUUCAGAAGCUGAAAACUACCUGGCUGUCAGGUGCAGGAGACAGAGCCGGUGGUCGUCGUGAACGAGAUGAAAAACGAAAAGAUCGAAACGGAAAUGAAAACUAAAGAUAAAUACCUGUUCAUCGCUCCUUGUGUUACCUAUUCCACAUGUUUAUUAUUUUAUAAGGUGAACUAUCGAGAUAAAGACUG